GGGGAUAUAGCUCAGUGGUAGAGCACUUGCCUAGCAUUUGCUAGGCCCUGGGUUCUAUCCCCA
rnacentral:tRNA from 1 species